GACGAACGCUGGCGGCGUGCUUAACACAUGCAAGUCGAACGUGAUUUUUGUGGAAAUUCUUUCGGGAAUGGAAAUGAAAUGAAAGUGGCGAACGGGUGAGUAACACGUGAGCAACCUACCUUACACAGGGGGAUAGCCGUUGGAAACGACGAUUAAUACCGCAUGAGACCACAGAAUCGCAUGAUAUAGGGGUCAAAGAUUUAUCGGUGUAAGAAGGGCUCGCGUCUGAUUAGCUAGUUGGAAGGGUAAAGGCCUACCAAGGCGACGAUCAGUAGCCGGUCUGGGAGGAUGAACGGCCACAUUGGAACUGAGACACGGUCCAAACUCCUACGGGAGGCAGCAGUGGGGAAUAUUGCACAAUGGGGGGAACCCUGAUGCAGCGACGCCGCGGGAGCGAAGAAGGUUUUCGAAUCGUAAAGCUCUGUCCUAUGAGAAGAUAAUGACGGUAUCAUAGGAGGAAGCCCCGGCUAAAUACGUG
rnacentral:rRNA from 1 species